CAUGCAGGCGGUCGGACGCGUUUUGUGUGACAGCGGGUGGCUCAACUACCCGAGUAUGCGAAAGACGGUCUGACUUGAGGGCUCGAGAGGGACACGGAAUUCCGGGUGGAGUGGUGAAAUGCGUAGAGAUCCGGAGGAACACCGAAGGCGAAGGCAGUGUCCUGGCGAGUGACUGACGCUGAGGUGCGAAAGCCAGGGGAGCGAACGGGAUUAGAUACCCCGGUAGUCCUGGCCGUAAACGAUGACCACCAGGUGUGGGAGGUAUCGACCCCUUCCGUGCCGGAGGAAACCCACUAAGUGGUCUGCCUGGGGAGUACGGUCGCAAGAUUAAA
rnacentral:rRNA from 1 species